ACGGGAGGCAGCAGUGGGGAAUAUUGGGCAAUGGACGAAAGUCUGACCCAGCGACGCCGCGUGAGGGAAGAAGGUCUUCGGAUUGUAAACCUUAGUUAUCGGGGAAGAAGAAAGUGACGGUACCCGAAGAGAAAGCCACGGCUAACUACGUGCCAGCAGCCGCGGUAAUACGUAGGUGGCGAGCGUUAUCCGGAUUUACUGGGUGUAAAGGGUGUGUAGGCGGGACUGCAAGUCAGAUGUGAAAACUAUGGGCUUAACUCAUAGCCUGCAUUUGAAACUGUGGUUCUUGAGUGUCGGAGAGGUAAAUGGAAUUCCCGGUGUGGCGGUGAAAUGCGUAGAGAUCGGGAGGAACACCAGUGGCGAAGGCGGCUUACUGGGCUUUAACUGACGCUGAGGCUCGAAAGCGUGGGGAGCAAACAGGAUUAGAUACCCUGGUA
rnacentral:rRNA from 1 species